ACCGAAAUAGCUCGGUUGGGAGAGCGUUAGACUAUAGACCGAAACGUCCCUGGUUCGAUCCCGGGAUCCGGCA
rnacentral:tRNA from 1 species